AUUGAACGCUGGCGGCAGGCCUAACACAUGCAAGUCGAGCGGAUGAAGGGAGCUUGCUCCUGGAUUCAGCGGCGGACGGGUGAGUAAUGCCUAGGAAUCUGCCUGGUAGUGGGGGAUAACGUCCGGAAACGGGCGCUAAUACCGCAUACGUCCUGAGGGAGAAAGUGGGGGAUCUUCGGACCUCACGCUAUCAGAUGAGCCUAGGUCGGAUUAGCUAGUUGGUGGGGUAAAGGCCUACCAAGGCGACGAUCCGUAACUGGUCUGAGAGGAUGAUCAGUCACACUGGAACUGAGACACGGUCCAGACUCCUAAGGGAGGCAGCAGUGGGGAAUAUUGGACAAUGGGCGAAAGCCUGAUCCAGCCAUGCCGCGUGUGGGAAGAAGGUCUUCGGAUUGUAAAGCACUUUAAGUUGGGAGGAAGGGCAGUAAGUUAAUACCUUGCUGUUUUGACGUUACCAACAGAAUAAGCACCGGCUAACUUCGUG
rnacentral:rRNA from 1 species